UAAAAUACGAUUAUAGUCAAAUAGAAAGGGAACCUAUAGGAAAGCCAAACUUUUCAGGCGGCAUUACGAAACGAAGCAUUCUACUAAGUACGACUGUGUCACUGGAUCGAAAAGAAAACAGAAGUUCGACGAGCUUAAGAGCGGAUUAUCAAAGUAGCAGACCUUGUUCUCUCGGGAAAACACGAAAAGUGAAAAUGCAGUACGUGCCAGUUUUCUUGUGAGUAAAAUACUGGCCAAAAAAAUGAAACCUUCCCAAGACGAAGAGUUGAUAAAGGAGUGUAUUUCAGCGGUCGUUGACAUAAUGUGCCCCAAAGUAAAAGCUGAGUUUGAUAACAUCAGUUUAUCGCGGAACACGGUGGCUAGAAGAGUUAAAGUUCUCGCAAUCGAUGAAAGCACUGAUGUGAGAGAUACAGCUCAGCUCGCUAUUUUUGUGAGAGGAAUCGACAGUAAUUUCCAAAUCACUGAGGAAUUAGUAGCCUUGUUCCCAAUGAAAGGAACUACUACUGGGAAAGACCUGAUGGAAGCGGUUAUGAUCUGCAUGCAGGAUUUCGGACUCUCUCCGCAAAUCUAAGUGGUAGUGGUAGUGGAGCACCACCAAUGACAGGGAAAAACACUGGUGUUGUGGCACUAAUUAGGAAAGAGAAACAAUUACAAGGUGGUGACAUUGUUACGAUUCACUGCAUUAUU